rnacentral:pre_miRNA from 1 species
UAUUAAUGACGCCGUUGACUUUUUCUCACAUGUUUGACUAUUCAUCUUAUUUAAAAAAUUUACGUAAUUAUAAUUUAUUUUGUUAUGAGUUGUUUUAUCACUCAUAAUAUUUUAAGUGUGAUUUAUAUCUUAUAUAUUUGCAUAAAAUUUUUAAAUAAAACGAAUGGUCAAACAUGUGAGAAAAAGUUAAUGGUGUCAUCUAUU